ACCACAUAGUACACAGGUAGGUUCAAGCCUAGGCCACUAUCCUCCGAUGUUGAUUUGAAAGUCAUGAACGAACGAAAAGUGAUGGUAUGGCCGCCCGGAGGAUAGUGGCCUAGACUUGAACUACCUAGGUACUAUGUGGU